rfam:Paracoccus halophilus strain JCM 14014 Contig_1, whole genome shotgun sequence.
GUUUGGUGUCCGGGCCCCUCUGGCGGACGUGGCGGCACGUUCGUGAUGUCGGCACCGAUCU